rnacentral:rRNA from 1 species
AUGGCCCGGUCGACGUUUACCUCGGCUAGGCUCCUCGCGGAGCGGCGACAUCCUUCGUCCCGGCUGCUCCCAGCGCUGCACCCCGAGGCGGCCGUGGACCACGGCCCCGGCGUGGCGGAGGAUGCACUCCGGGCCUGCAUCUUUUUCGAUGAGGCGGCCAGGCGCGUAACGCACAGCGGCGGCAGCGGCCAAUGGCCGGUGCCCGGCAUGGCAACGCCCGGCAGCAAACACGGUGUCUCGUGGCUCCGCGGCGGCGGCCAUCGGCCUGCGUGCGGCAGCGCGGUCCUCAGCCCGGGCAGAGGCAGCCCACGAGGCGCAAAACGCGGCGGCGCAACCAUCGGUCUGCCCGCACUGCACAGCGGCAGCAGUUACCAUGGCCACGACGCUCGCACGGGAUAA